rnacentral:rRNA from 1 species
UACGUAGGGUGCAAGCGUUGUCCGGAAUUAUUGGGCGUAAAGAGCUCGUAGGCGGUCUGUCGCGUCGGAUGUGAAAAUCCAGGGCUCAACCCUGGACCUGCAUUCGAUACGGGCAGACUAGAGUUCGGUAGGGGAGACUGGAAUUCCUGGUGUAGCGGUGAAAUGCGCAGAUAUCAGGAGGAACACCGGUGGCGAAGGCGGGUCUCUGGGCCGAAACUGACGCUGAGGAACGAAAGCGUGGGGAGCGAACAGG